GACGAACGCUGGCGGCGUGCUUAACACAUGCAAGUCGAACGGAAAGGCCCUGCUUUUGUGGGGUGCUCGAGUGGCGAACGGGUGAGUAACACGUGAGUAACCUGCCCUUGACUUUGGGAUAACUUCAGGAAACUGGGGCGAAUACCGGAUAGGAGCUCCUGCUGCAUGGUGUGGGUUGGAAAGUUUCGGCGGUUGGGGAUGGACUCGCGGCUUAUCAGCUUGUUGGUGGGGUAGUGGCUUACCAAGGCUAUGACGGGUAGCCGGCCUGAGAGGGUGACCGGCCACAUUGGGACUGAGAUACGGCCCAGACUCCUACGGGAGGCAGCAGUGGGGAAUAUUGCACAAUGGGCGGAAGCCUGAUGCAGCAACGCCGCGUGCGGGAUGACGGCCUUCGGGUUGUAAACCGCUUUCGCCUGUGACGAAGCGUGAGUGACGGUAAUGGGUAAAGAAGCAACGGCUAACUACGUG
rnacentral:rRNA from 1 species